UGCAGUCGAACGAAUGCUGGGUAGCAAUAUCUAGCGGAAGUGGCGAAAGGGGCAGUAAUACAUGAACAACCUACCCUGGGGAUGGGCAUAGCCGGUCUAACGGCCGGGUAAUUCCCAGAGAUUCGGCGAAGGGGCAUCUCUUUGCCGGGAAACGAAUUUCGCCUCGGGAGGGGUUCAUGAGCUAUCAGCUAGUUGGUGGGGUAACGGCCCACCAAGGCUUAGACGGCUAGCGGGUGUGAGAGCACGACCCGCGCCACUGGCACUGAGACACUGGCCAGACACCUACGGGUGGCUGCAGUCGAGGAUCUUCGUCAAUGGGCGCAAGCCUGAACGAGCGAUGCCGCGUGAGCGAUGAAGGCCUUCGGGUUGUAAAGCUCAAAAGUGAAGAGAAAGGGAAACUUGAUCGAUUCACAGUAAGCUCGGGCUAAGUUCGUGCCAGCAGCCGCGGUAAGACGAACCGAGCGAACGUUGUUCGGAAUCACUGGGCUUAAAGGGCGCGUAGGCGGGUGCUCAAGUCUGUGGUGAAAUCCUCCGGCUCAACCGGAGAACUGCCAUGGAUACUGGGUGUCUCGAGGGUGGUAGGGGUAUGCGGAACUAUCGGUGGGAGCGGNGAAAUGCGUUGAUAUCGAUAGGAACUCCGGNGGCNAAGGCGGCAUACUGGACCACUUCUGACGCUGAGGCGCGAAAGCCAGGGGAGCAAACGGGAUUAGAUACCCCGGUAGUCCUGNNCCUAAACGAUGGNACUAGCUAGUAGGNUNACAUGGCUUUACUGGCGAA
rnacentral:rRNA from 1 species